CCUACGGGCGGCAGCAGUGAGGAAUAUUGGUCAAUGGACGAGAGUCUGAACCAGCCAAGUAGCGUGAAGGAUGACUGCCCUAUGGGUUGUAAACUUCUUUUAUAUGGGAAUAAAAUGUUCCACGUGUGGGAUUUUGUAUGUACCAUAUGAAUAAGGAUCGGCUAACUCCGUGCCAGCAGCCGCGGUAAUACGGAGGAUCCGAGCGUUAUCCGGAUUUAUUGGGUUUAAAGGGAGCGUAGGUGGAUUGUUAAGUCAGUUGUGAAAGUUUUCGGCUCAACCGUAAAAUUGCAGUUGAAACUGGCAGUCUUGAGUACAGUAGAGGUGGGCGGAAUUCGUGGUGUAGCGGUGAAAUGCUUAGAUAUCACGAAGAACUCCGAUUGCGAAGGCAGUUCACUGGACUGCAACUGACACUGAGGCUCGAAAGUGUGGGUAUCAAACAGGAUUAGAUACCCGUGUAGUC
rnacentral:rRNA from 1 species